rnacentral:lncRNA from 1 species
GAGAAGCAAACGAAGCGAUUGCAGCAAUCACAUUGCUGUUCCUUUUCUCUUUUCUCUCUAAAAUUAACUAACAUUUAGAAAAGCUUCUCUAACUGCCGCUCCAAAAUUGUGGUAAGUUAUGUUCUUUGAAUCUAUAUAGAUAUUUUUGUGUCGGUGUGUGAAUCUAUAUGGUUAUUUGAAUGAUGGGGGUGUUUUAUGGGGUUUUGCCUUUUUUACGUAUUUUAAUUCCUGUUUCACUGGUAGUUUUAGAUCUUUUAGUUGAUGAGUAAAUCUUCCCUCCUGGGUUUGUGUUGUGGAUUUUUUAUUUUUUCAAAUGAUGACGAUAAUAAUGUGUUGAAUUUUUUGAAUUUCAGGAAUUUUGUUGCGGGAUUUUAGUGAGUUCCGUGAUUGGAUAACUGUUUAGUGAAUUAUUCUUUGAUUAAUUGAUGGGAAAAGGAGGGCAAAAUUAUGGUAAGACAGAGAAUUUGGGUGCUAAAUCGGAGUCGAAAGCAGAAAAUUAUGCUCCAUGGUCGAAAGAUGUGGACGAGUGUGCAGAGAGGUAUCAAGUAAAUCUGAAGAAUGGUUUGUCCAGCGCUGAUGUUGAGAAAAGGAGACUGAUCUAUGGGCUUAAUGAGUUGGAGAAACAUGAGGGGACAUCCAUUUUUAGAUUAAUUCUGGAUCAGUUCAAUGAUACAUUAGUCAGAAUUUUACUUGUGGCUGCUGUGAUAUCCUUUGUGUUGGCAUGGUAUGAUGGAGAGGAAGGUGGGGAGAUGGAGAUAACAGCUUUCGUGGAACCUUUAGUGAUAUUCUUGAUAUUAAUUGUGAAUGCAAUUGUUGGGGUUUGGCAAGAGAACAAUGCGGAGAAAGUGCUAGAGGCAUUGAAGGAAAUCCAAUCGGAGCAUGCGACUGUUCUCCGCGAGGGGAAAAAAAUUUCAAAUUUACCAGCAAAAGAGCUUGUUCCAGGGGACAUCGUGGAGUUGAGAGUUGGAGAUAAGGCUCCAGCUGAUAUGAGGGUUUUGAGUUUGAUCAGCUCGACUCUUCGAGUUGAACAGGGGUCCUUGACUGGAGAGAGCGAGGCAGUAAAUAAGACCAAAAAUGCAGUCUCUGAGGAUGUUGAUAUUCAGGGAAAGAAGUGUAUGGUGUUUGCUGGGACAACAGUAGUGAAUGGACACUGUAUUUGUCUGGUUAUGCAGACAGGGAUGAAUACUGAAAUUGGGAAGGUGCAUUCUCAGAUUCAUGAGGCAUCGCAAAGUGAGGAAGGUACACCGCUGAAGAAGAAAUUAAACGAGUUUGGAGAAGCUUUAACUGCUAUAAUCGGAGUAAUCUGUGCUCUGGUUUGGCUGAUUAAUGUGAAAUAUUUCCUUUCUUGGGAAUUCAUUGAUGGCUGGCCUAGAAAUUUUAAGUUUUCAUUUGAGAAGUGCACUUAUUACUUUGAGAUUGCCGUAGCUUUGGCAGUUGCUGCUAUUCCUGAAGGUUUACCUGCAGUUAUUACAACUUGCUUGGCCCUUGGAACCCGGAAGAUGGCUGCUAAGAAUGCACUCAUUCGAAAGUUGCCAAGUGUUGAAACACUUGGUUGCACAACUGUGAUUUGUUCAGAUAAGACUGGUACUUUGACUACCAACCAGAUGGCAGUGGCUAAGCUAGUUGCCAUGGGUUCCAAGGCAAAUGCUCUUCGAUCAUUCAAUGUGGAAGGGACCACUUAUAAUCCUUUUGACGGAAAUAUACAAAAUUGGCCAGUGGGUGAGCUAGAUCUUAAUCUUCAAAUGAUUGCAAAGAUUGCUGCUGUGUGCAAUGAUGCCGAUGUAGAAAAAUCUGAACAUCAUCAUGUUGCCAAUGGAAUGCCCACUGAGGCGGCAUUAAAGGUACAGCGAGUAUAAACACAUUUAUCCUGCAUUCUGCGCAUGAUUUUGUCAGCAUUUUUCAAGUAAAGCUUCACUAUGCGGAUUGCCCUUUUUUUUUAAUUUCCAUGUAAGGAAAUAAACAUGACAAUAAGGCUUCUUGCAUGUUGCUCAAAUUGGAAAAUUUUAUGACAAAUGAAAGUAUACUCCAGGCCCUAAAGAUUAAGGAUGACAGGGUUAGUUCCAUUGCUGGUUCUUGGCAGUAUUCUGUCCUUUUUCUGGGUCAUUUCCUUUACCUUUACGUGUUUUUGUACCUCUUUGAUAAUUUGCUCACAGAUGAUGGAAGCUUGAUGCCUCUACAUACAUUCCUUGAGUGAUUUUUGCUUCUAGGAGGUAGUAAUCAAUAUUUGAAUGAAAAUCAGAUUCUUGACAUGAUUGUUUAAUGCUCAGGUUCUGGUUGAGAAAAUGGGCCUUCCAAGUGGAUUACAUUCAGGUGCCUCCUCAGGUUAUGAUGGUGUAUUGAGUAAGAUGCUCUACCUUAUUGAAUUGUUUUUAUACAAAUCAUACCAGUUAAUAUGUUGAUGUCAACUUGUUUAUUUUGAUGCAUCCAAGAUUGCUCCCACACAUGGAAUAAAAUUGAACAGCGGAUUGCCACUCUUGAGUUUGAUCGAGAUAGAAAGUCAAUGGGAGUCAUAGCGUGUUCCCGCUCAGGGAAAAAGUCCCUGCUUGUGAAGGUG